GUUGAGCAUCCGUAUAAGCAUGAAGUAACGAACCCGAAUCAUGACGGAGGAGAAGACCAUGAUUGAUUGUGCCCUGAAGAUACCGUAAUAUUCGUUUAACCGCUGACCAGUGAUUAGUUGUAGGAGCCUGCAUGAAUUGGCAGACUUUGUUGACUGCAAAGGCAAGGUCGGGUCUAGACAAUGUAACAUACUGUAGUGCCCCAACCAUUUGGCGAUAUUGAACUGGGUUGUCAUGGGGAGGACUGUCACUGAGAGACAGAUUAGACGAGGUGGUCAUGGGAGAUGGAACCGGUUUAGCAAGAGACAUGUUGGCCCGGUGAAGCAAGUCUAGUAUAUAUUUCUUUUGAGACAAAAAAAUAUCCCUGUCACGGUAAACAAUCUCAAUACCCAAAAAGUAGGACAAUUUUCCCAAAUCUUGUAGAGCAAAGAUAUGACUUAGACGACGUACGAUAGUGUCAAUAGCAGCCGAGUCAUUUCCCGUGAGUAUGAUAUCAUCGACAUAAACCAACAUGUAUAGCAGCGUUUUACCUGACGAGUAGAUAAACAAGGAAGGAUCCGUUUUGGAGCCCCUAAAACCGAGGCUGCGUAGGACAGAAGAGAGUCGAUGAAACCAUGCCCGGGGUGCUUGUUUGAGGCCAUAGAGAGACUUGUGAAGGAGGCACACGUGAUCCGGUCUCAUGGGAUCAACAAACCCUGGCGGUUGUUGUAGGUAAACGGUUUCCUUGAGAUCCCCAUGUAAAAAUGCAUUUUGAACGUCUAAUUGGCGGAGGGGCCAACCUUUUGUAACAGCAAUAGAAAGGACCGUACGGAUAGUAGUAGCCUUAAUGACUGGGCUAAAAGUGUCAUGAUAGUCAACACCCGGUUGUUGUCGAAAACCCUUAGCAACCAAACGCGCUUUGUAACGCGUGAUAGCCCCAGUUUGGUCUUGUUUCAUUUUGUACACCCAUUUACAAUCCACAACAUUAGUGUUCGGACUACGUGGAACCAAUGACCAUGUGCCAUUCCGAACUAGAGCUGAAUAUUCAUCAGCCAUGGCCUGUCGCCAGUGAGGAUCUUUGUUGGCAACGCUAAAGGAGGUAGGUUCGGUAGGUGGGGAGAUAUAGGAGGUAUUUGCGGAAGGAUUAUAACGGUUGGUUUUCUUUGGAUUAGGUGGAAUCAGGGGCUGAUGUUGGGCCAGUUGAGGGUCAGAGGCGGGCUGUUGGUCACGGCUGUUGGUAACGGCUGUGAAGGCUUGGGUAGGGGGGAUGGAUUCGGGUUUUCUAACCAGAAAAUCAUGGUCAGCUAA
rnacentral:lncRNA from 1 species